CAUUAACAAUGUCAAAUCCUCGCCACCAUAAAAGUCUCUGCUUCUCUGCUGUAAUUGAAGCUUUCAUCUUCAUAAUUAUACAAGGAGGAGAUGGGAGAAUCUGAGCCCUUUAAGAACAGGACCAAGCAUAGGCAGUUCAUAUUCCUUUGUCAGUAAAUAAUUAUGAAAGAUAUCUGGAGGUCUCUGAAUCAUCGAAUGAUGGACGAGUUUCUUUGUCUGAAAUCCCUCUUCUUACUCAACCCACAAGCAUGCCACCACCUUCUAGAUGCCCACCUCCAAGACCACCGUGAAUAUCAAAGCCGGAGAUGGGUAUUUUUCUUUCCCAGAUUCCACACUGCACUCUAGAGAGAAGGCUACUAAGUUUCAUUCUUUUUAUUAAAAUUCCACUUCAUACUCUUGAAAUCCUAGUUCAGGUGGUGCAGCAAGGAAUUCAAUGACUUCUCAAAUUGAUGAACUUGGGGAUUUUGUCACGGGAAGGACUAAAAAAAAUAAUGAUGAGUUUGCAGACGUUCUACCAGGUGACGAUGUGGAUAAAACUCUCUCUUUUGUUGUUUUCUCUGGGUAGCCUUCAACAAAUCAAUUUGAGUUUUUUUUUUCAUAAAAGGUUGUCUAUGCUUUUCUAUUAUUUGUCUCUCUUCUGUUUCUUUCUCUUGGUAGCCUCCAACAAAUCAAUUUGGAUUUUCUCUUAGUGGUUGUUAUAUAUGAGAGUAGAUUUGUUUUUUCAUCCAAUUCUAAAAAUUGCAUCGAUAUAAUGUAAAAUGUAAUUUUUUAAAAGAAUGGAGUAGAAGUAAAAAACAAUUAA